AUUGAACGCUGGCGGCAGGCCUAAUACAUGCAAGUCGAACGAGUGGCGGACGGGUGAGUAAUGUAUGGGAAACUGCCUGACGGCGGGGGAUAACUACUGGAAACGGUAGCUAAUACCGCAUACCAUCAGAUGUGCCCAGAGGGGAUUAGCUAGUUGGUGGGGGAACGGCUCACCAAGGCGACGAUCCCUAGCUGGUCUGAGAGGAUGACCAGCCACACUGGAACUGAGACACGGUCCAGACUCCUACGGGAGGCAGCAGUGGGGAAUAUUGCACAAUGGGGGCAAGCCUGAUGCAGCCAUGCCGCGUGUGUGAAGAAGGCCUUCGGGUUGUAAAAUUCUUUCAGCGGGGAGGCGUUACCCGAAGAGGAAGCACCGGCUAACUCCGUGCCAGCAGCCGCGGUAAUUC
rnacentral:rRNA from 1 species